CGUGUAUCUCCGCCGGCGCUCGGGCGAGCUCGGACCAAAACAAAACAUUCGCCGCACCCGCUCGUCGGCUAGUGAGUGUUUAUCUUUCAAACGAUAGAAUACAAAAAUACAGAGUUCCCGCUCCGGGGUUGUGUGAGUUAAUUCUCUACAAAAAAACGCAAAAUGGAUUCCAACAAGUCGUCCACGAAGAAACAGCAGUCGUACACUUCGAAUUAUAAUCCACUUAAUUUGUUGUUCAACUCGAGGCGCCGCACCGAAAGUGAAAACAGCACGGGUUCAAAUUCCGAAAAUUGUGAAAGAGGCUCACAAUUCGGUUCAUACCAGAGGCAGACGAGUAAAAAUAGCGACGAAUAUUUGUGGAUGAUAUGGCGUUCCUAGUCGCACGCGCAUCGAAAGCACCUAUAUAAACUCUACAUUAAGUCAUGUAUAGUUUGUAAGCAUGAGUUGGGUGACGGAGCCGAGCCCAACCGUGAUGGAGCAGGUGGCCAUCAUACCCGCGUGGUUCCUGGCCGUGUGGCUGGGCACCUGCAUACUCUUCAGCCCCUUUGCCAUGUUCUUCGUCACGUGCCUCCCACAGCUUCCCCUGCUGGUGCUGAGAAGGCUAUGCUAUAUACCGUUCGAGUAUAUUUGACAGGCAUAUUGGGUUGGGCAAAUAAAAACCUCCAAGCAAAGUUUUGUUCAAUCCAAGAACAUACAGUGGUAGAUUUACAGUCGUAACAUAGAGUGGUAAAUUCUAAAAACAGAGACAAAUUUUGAAUCAUCAACAAUGAAUAUCAAGAAAAAUCUUCAUUUUUAUAUUCGAAGUUAAUGAAUAUGUGUAGGAUAAGACUUGCUUAAGUGCCUUAUUUACUUUAAGUUUUGUUUUGUAUAAGAAUGCCAAUGAGAGUGGGAAGAAAUAUAUUUAAGCACAUUGUAAUCACAUUUUAAGAACUACACUGAUUGUUAUUUAAACAAAAGAUAAUUAUUUGCCAAUGUUUAUAAAACUUUGUUGUAUAAAAUCGGUUUAAAAAUAUUUCUACAGAUAGGAUGAGUGUAAAAUACUUUAGUCCGUUUGUUGCGACAAAAUCUUUUGGAAUUAAUUAUCGUUCAAUUAAGUUACGAAACGAAAAUUAAGUUAUAAUUAAAUUUGUAAAUAACGGUGUACAAUAAUUAUUUAAUAAAUUAAGCAUUGAA